GAUGAACGCUGGCGGCGUGCCUAAUACAUGCAAGUCGAGCGAACAGACGAGGAGCUUGCUCCUCUGACGUUAGCGGCGGACGGGUGAGUAACACGUGGAUAACCUACCUAUAAGACUGGGAUAACUUCGGGAAACCGGAGCUAAUACCGGAUAAUAUAUUGAACCGCAUGGUUCAAUAGUGAAAGACGGUUUUGCUGUCACUUAUAGAUGGAUCCGCGCCGCAUUAGCUAGUUGGUAAGGUAAGGCUUACCAAGGCGACGAUGCGUAGCCGACCUGAGAGGGUGAUCGGCCACACUGGAGCUGAGACACGGUCCAGACUCCUACGGGAGGCAGCAGUAGGGAAUCUUCCGCAAUGGGCGAAAGCCUGACGGAGCAACGCCGCGUGAGUGAUGAAGGUCUUCGGAUCGUAAAACUCUGUUAUUAGGGAAGAACAAAUGUGUAAGUAACUAUGCACGUCUUGACGGUACCUAAUCAGAAAGCCACGGCUAACUACGUG
rnacentral:rRNA from 1 species